UGUCAAGCAGUUCUCCCUGCCUCAGCCUCCCGAGUAGCUGGGAUUAUAGGUGUGUGCCAUGACGCUUGGCUAAUUACAAAAAUUUCUAAUACAGGAAGGGUUUUGCUGUAUUGGCCAGGCUGGUCUCGAACUCUUUACCUCAAGAGAUUGGCCCACCUUGGCCUCCUAAAAUGCUGGGAUUACAGGCUUGAGCCACUGUGCCCGACCCAAUCCUGACAUCUUUUAAAGCUGCCUUCAUGUACCAAAAGCCAGUCUGUUGGAAAAUCAGGCUUGUUGAAGAGCCUAAGAGGAGAGGGAUAAGCUUCAGCUAGGUAAAUAACUAUGCAUAUGUUAAAAAUGUGGGCCAAACUCUAUCCCAAAUAUUAACUCUUCUGCUUGGUGUUUUAUAUCCAUUUAUGGUUAUUCUUUCAGUAUUAAGAUUUUUAAAGAUUCUUUUGAUAAUUGUGGACAAAUUACUAUUAAAACUCAGCUGCAUUUGUAACACUUUAAAGAACUAACUAAUGACAUUAUUUUUCUCGGAGGCAUUUUGGAUAGUUACAUAAUUGUUUAUCUCUUUGCCAGAAAUCUUUUUUUUUUUUUUUUCCAGAGCAGAAACCUGAAAAGAAACAUUCCUUUGCAUUAAGUGCUGUUUCACUGUGUGACAAUCAAGUUUUGAAUGUGAGAACAAGAUCAUCGUGUAUUUUUGGGAUAAUUCUUGCUUAAUAGUGAUAAUGCUAAGUGUUAAAAUUAUGGAACAAUUUGUUUCUUUGAAAAUUACUAUUUGCCUGCUCACCAGAUGGGAGCUGAUGAGAAUGUGGAUGUAAAAAUUAAAUUGUAUUUAGCUUGUAUAAAAGAAGUUUUAAAAAGCUUUUUUGUUUUGUGCUGCUACUGAAGUUACUUAGCUGUGGAAAUGAGGUGAUUGCAGGCACCUAGAAUUUGAUCUCCUUCACUUCCACAAUGGGAAGAAAUUCUCCAAGAAGCACAGGAAUCUGACUUUCUGAUAUUGAGACUCCUAGGCGUCAAGCCCCAUGGAAGGGGUGUUGAUUAUAUGAACGUUGGCGUUGAUGUGGGCAUCCUCCAAGCCGGACGCAGGGAGCGGGGAAGGGCAGAAAGAACAGGCCCCUCAGGAGCCAUGAGAAAAUAAAGUGUUGGCAGCAGUGGUGAGGGUUGGUAUCAGGGGCCAGGAAGAGGUGGCGAAGGGAGCAUGUGCCUCAAGACGGCUCUGGAACCCGCGGUCCCUGCAGUGAGGUCUGGUCUGCAGGGGAUGUGGAUGGCCACGCGGCGAGGCCCACAGACAGCCUGGACUCGGCUGCCUCAGAACUCUGGUGGACGUUGCAAACGGCCCCACAGGGUUGCAGUGCACAUUCCUCGGACAGAAAGAAGACGCUUGGAACUGUUCCCGGCACGAAGCCAGCACCCUGUGAACAGUGGCUGCUGCUGUUGUGACUGAGUGCCGUCCAACUGGGAACAUUUGCUCUGCUCAGUUCACUGUCUUCAACAAGCUUGACGCAUUGAACGAGGGCUCAGUCGAUAAUGUACUCUGUAAAUUCGCUCUCCCGGCUAGAGUGAGCAAAGCCCAGGGAGCGGGUGGUUCUCAUUGUUAGCCAGGUGUUUGUGGCAGGGCCAGCUGUGUGGGUGCCAGAGCGAAUGUGACCAGGAAGCCUCUGUCCCCCCGAGGUGGCCAGCAUUCCUGUUACACGUGCCAUAGGCAGAAGAUCUAUACAACCUGGCAUUUGGCCGUGGCUUCCAGGACAGGCUGGAUGCAGAGUGAAGUCCUCUCCUCACUGUCAAUGUUUGCAGAUGUCUUCUUGUAUAAACUUCAUAUUUCUUGAGACUUUCAAUUAGGUUUUUACUUAACUGGACUUUUAAAAUUGCCAUGCACAUAACUCUACCAGUUACAAUCGUGAACUAACAUGGGUUUUUAGUUUUACUUUGAAUGUUUAACAUUUGCAUGCUGGAUGUGGGGCUGGAGGUCAUUUAUCUGCUUUUCAUUUCCUUUUUGGUUAUACUUAGUGACUUUCAGGUAAGGUGUGGAAGGCGUGGUACAGGGUGAAUUGCAGGCUGCACUGUGGCAUUGUGGAGGACAGGCGCGGGCUGUAGUGGUGUGUAUAGUGGAUGAGAGACAAGAGACUUCCAUCCUUGAGGGAAACACAACAAUUUAAAAAACUGAUCAUCUAGCUUACAUGAGGUCCAACAAAUACAGUUUGCAAAGUUGAACUUCCAAGUUAAUUUAGUAAUUUUUCCCCUAAGUGAUUAAUUUAGUAGCUUACGUUUAAAUACAUUUCUUUUGUCUAAAGGAAGUCAUAAAUUCUAAAAUGAAUGACUAAACAUGUAAUAAUUUAGGCAUGCAGCACCUGAAGGGAAAACUGCCAGUAUGCUAAAAUAUUGGAUACAGAUGCUU